UACGUAGGGGGCAAGCGUUGUCCGGAAUCAUUGGGCGUAAAGAGCGUGUAGGCGGCCUGAUAAGUCGGCUGUGAAAGUCAAGGGCUCAACCCUUGAAUGCCGGCCGAUACUGUCAGGCUAGAGUCCGGAAGAGGCGAGUGGAAUUCCUGGUGUAGCGGUGAAAUGCGCAGAUAUCAGGAAGAACACCGAUGGCGAAGGCAGCUCUCUGGGACGGUACUGACGCUGAGACGCGAAAGCGUGGGGAGCGAACAGG
rnacentral:rRNA from 1 species